rnacentral:rRNA from 1 species
AUUGAACGCUGGCGGCAGGCCUAAUACAUGCAAGUCGAGCGGAGCUGCGGACGGGCGAGUAAUGCCUAGGUAUCUGCCUGGUAGCGGGGGAUAACGUCCGGAAACGGGCGCUAAUACCGCACACUAUCAGAUGACCCUAGGUCGGAUUAGCUAGUUGGUGGGGUAAAGGCCUACCAAGGCGACGAUCCGUAACUGGUCUGAGAGGAUGAUCAGUCACACUGGAACGGAGACACGGUCCAGACUCCUACGGGAGGCAGCAGUGGGGAAUAUUGGGCAAUGGGCGAAAGCCUGAUCCAGCCAUGCCGCGUGUGUGAAGAAGGUCUUCGGAUUGUAAAGCACUUUAAGUUGGGAGGCGUUACCAACAGAGAAAGCACCGGCUAACUACGUGCCAGCAGCCGCGGUAAUUC